UACGGAGGGUGCGAGCGUUGUCCGGAAUCACUGGGCGUAAAGGGCGCGUAGGCGGCAUGCCAAGCGUGUGGUGAAAGCCCGGGGCUCAACCCCGGGUCGGCCGUGCGGACUGGCGUGCUUGAGCACUGUAGGGGCGGGUGGAAUUCCGGGGUGUAGCGGUGGAAUGCGUAGAGAUCCGGAAGAACACCGGUGGCGAAGGCGGCCCGCUGGGCAGGAAGGAAGCGCAAGCUUCCGGCUGACGCUGAGGCGCGACAGCGUGGGGAGCAAACAGG
rnacentral:rRNA from 1 species